GACAGAGGGGGCAAGCGUUGCUCGGAAUUACUGGGCGUAAAGCGUGCGCAGGCGGCGCGUUAAGACAGGUGUGAAAGCCCCGAGCUUAACUUGGGAAUUGCGCUUGUGACUGGCGUGCUGGAGUGUGGCAGAGGGAGGUGGAAUUCCACGUGUAGCAGUGAAAUGCGUAGAGAUGUGGAGGAACACCGAUGGCGAAGGCAGCCUCCUGGGCCAGCACUGACGCUCAUGCACGAAAGCGUGGGGAGCAAACAGG
rnacentral:rRNA from 1 species